CUGUCUUCAUUAGCCCAGUCGGCGCAGAAAGUGCAUUACGUUGAUAUUCCUGACCUUCGUUGAUAUCUUAAUACAGAGUGGAUAAAUUCUGUUAAUAUCUUUAUGUGAUGUCCAGGUAUAUAAGAUGACUGUAGAACUGUUGUACUUCACAAUCAAGUUUCUGGUCCAGGCUGAAGAAGAUUGACAGUAAAUACAGUAUGAAGACCUUUCUCGUUUUAGUAUUGUGUGUGUUGGGAUUAAACUUGACGACGUGUGAAAACCAAGCUCGAUUGUCCAGACAGAAGAGGCAGUAUUCGUCUUCUUCGUCGUCCACGUCAAGUUCUUCGAAUCCAGUAGAUUACUACCAAGUCAUACAAUCACGAUACGAUCUGGAACGACGAGAAGCUGUUCUCAGAUACCAACAAGAGGUUAUUGAAUCCAGGCAGCGAUUUCGACAAGAACGCUUGGAGGCAGCACAAAGAUUCCGAGAAGAAGAACUACGAUUUGAGUUAGAGCAGGCUGAAGCGAUUCAGAGAUACAACCAGGGGUUGACUUCUCUCGCUGACGUCAUGGCCUUACAGGUUAAUGACGUCACGUCUUUUGAGGACAACGUUAAUCACUCUUUAGGCGAUGAGAAUUUAUUGUCUCGACGCAAGAGAUCACAUGACGAGGACGCCGAGGAAGACGUUGAUAUAGGUAUCAGUAACCGAGGUAACUACGCAGGGCUUAAUUUCGGAUCAAGUUCUGGGGACAACAAUAAAGACGCAUCCAGUGAUCAAAGGCACACCACGUGGACCCGGAGAUAAUGGCAAACUAACAUAUCUAUAAUCUCGAACAUUUUCUAUUUAUAUUGGAGUACUCAUUUAACAAAGUGAUAAAAUGGGCUAAUAGUUUCCAUGAAUAUUUAACAUGCUUGUUAGACCAAUUUGAUUAAAACACAGAUACUAUUUCGUUUCGUUCUUUAUAGUUCAAAAUUUCGUUUUACUUGUCUUUACUACACUAGGAUCGGGAAGAGUUGUUAUAUUACCGGCAUUUUAGUUGAAGUGAGGGAUAAGUCAAUGAAACGGUCUGUUACGGCGAGUUCUUGGCGUGUUGUGGUUAAACCAUGGACCGUGUAUAGGGUCCAUGGUUAAACCACUAGAAACGUCAACGCUGAUAGAUUAAUCAAUGUCUGACGUUAUAUAGUCAAAAGCCACUCGUACGACCCCUGACAUGACCUUCGAGUACAACUUGUCAGAUCUUCAUGUAGUGUAGGCCAUCGAAAGUAUAAAAAAACGAAACGAAAUAUAGAUCUCUAUUUAAUCAGAUUGGUUA